GACUGAGCCACCCAGGCGCCCCAAGAGUACAAUUUUCUUGAUGAGGAUUGAGUAAGGGCAGCCAGGCGUGCCUGAGGAAUGUCACAUGUAUCUCACGGGGCGGGGGCGUUGUGGGGUGUCAGCUGCUGCUUUGUCCUCAGUUUGCCUUCUGCUCCCUCAUCAGUUUGAAUCAUGAUUCGCACAAACCGAUUAAAAAUAAAAACAGUAUGAGACAGACGGAAGACUCUCAACACUGGCUAUUUGAUGAUAAUAAAGGAUAAUGGUUAA